rnacentral:rRNA from 1 species
UUAUACAUAGCCUCAACUCAUGUGAGACUACCCCCUGAAUUUAAGCAUAUUAAUAAGGGGAGGAAAAGAAACUAAAUAGGAUUCCCCUAGUAGCGGCGAGCGAAAAUGGGAAAAGUCCAGCACGUAGAAUCGCAACUGUUAUGGUUGUUGAUUGAUGCCGUGUAUAGGUUC